rnacentral:rRNA from 1 species
AAUCGACCUCAAAUCAGAUGG